rnacentral:lncRNA from 1 species
CGAGGGUCUAAGAAAGCCUAGAAAUGUGUAUACAAAAAAGGGAAAAGAAUCAAAAAUAGCAUUUCAGUAGAAGAUAAGAAAUUCGAGCAUCUCCUUCUUUCUAACUAGUACUGCUCCAAACUUAAGCAGACAGGUGCUUGUGAUGAGUACUCUGUGGUGACACGUACCACCUGAGAAUGUGGUUGCUGACAGUUGCUAGGGAGAAGCUCAUGGAAACCAACAGAACCAAGGCAAGGAAUGUGGAGCUCUGAGAUGGUGAAGAGAAUGGAUGCAGGCAAAAAGCGAUGGAGGAGAGAUCUACACAUGCAGAUGAGGUACCAUACUUGGAUUGGAAUUGUUUACCAAUGUCGGUGGAUCAGAGGCCCGGGUGUUAAUCAAGAAAGAAUGAAGGGUCACAGACCAGAACUUCUGAAGUAAUAUUGAGCCACAAUGACUGCAACAGGAAUUCUUAUGUGAGUCCUGAAUUAAAUGGAACAGUAUGCUUCACCAAAGAAAACAUAUUUGCCAGAAGAUACUGUGGACAGCAAACCUCUAUUGUGGAAGAACACUAUUUCUUGAGAUAAAUGCAGUGCUUUGUGCGGAACGUUGGGGUCACUAAACUUACCUAGUUUAUUCCAUCAAAUUAAAAUAUAUCUGCAGAGUAUCCCG